AUGGAGGUGUCCGACCGCACCAUCAUCUACCCUGUGUUUUCACAAUGUGGUGAUCUGCAAAUUAAUACUGGCGAGAAGAAGCUUAACUUAGGCCCUGUUCAGAAUCUCUCUGCUCCACUCCGCGGAGCUCGGUUUGAGCAGCUCCAUAAAAAACUGCAGGAGCCUGCUCCGCUCUGGGAGCUGAGUCAUGGGAGCGGAGAGAAACCGAACAGGCUCUUAGUGGAGGUGAUGAUCCAUGUAAACGUGGAUGGCAGCUUCAUGCCUGAUGGAAAGACUGGGGGCUGGGGUUUUAUUCUCACAGAUGCUGAGGGAGACGCGGUAGGAGCUGGAGCUGGAGCUGGCAGGCUGCUAUCUUUACAAGCUGACGCUGAAGCUUGUUGUGCUGCGUUGCAAGCUGCGCAGGCAUGGGGGAUGAUGACACGCAUCACCUUGGUAAUGGAUGGCCCAGGAACUGGUGGCUGCCAUCUCAAAACCUAUGGUGCGCACCGUGGUUCGCCUAACCCUGAUGCGGCACCGCUCCCAGCAAAAAGUCGUCGAUCGACACACGUGGCUCCGGUAGCAUCUCCGGCGAUCUUACAACAGUGGCUUGCAGCAACACCGCCCCGUCGUAGCAACUCCGACGUCCUCGCAGCAACGCCCCCCAUACAGUGGCUCACAGCAACACCGCCGCGGUUCGUCGCAGCAUCGCCAAAGCCGUCGGGCGUCGAAGCACCUGGGACAUCGUCGCAACAUGGUCACAACGUUGAGGCAACCAGGCUACCAUUGCCGGCCGUGUCCCAGCAGCCGUCGCAGCAUCAGCGUGCGGUCGACGUCCUUGCCGCACCAUCUCCCAACAAUCAUCACCGGAAGGCCCCCACGAUGACGAGCACCUCUCACAGCUCCAACAAGCAUUGUCAUCGGCGUUGCUCACAUCAAUGCCACCGUUGUAGCAACUCCGACGGCCUCAUAGCAGCAGCUUGCUGCAAUGCCACCACAGACCGUCGCAAUAUUAUUGCCGCAGUCGCCGAGCUCGAAGCACCAUGGGCCGACGUCGCAGCAUAUGUGGCGGGUCGCCCCACCAGCCUGCAACAUCCCCUCCCCCUUCCUUUGCGUCGUAGCCUGGUGUUUCUAGCGGAGUUGGCUGAUGGCUGCAUCCACGAUGAGAUUUGGCGUUGGAGAAGGAAAGAGAAACGUGACAUGGUGCUGGAGGCCGGGACAUGGAGGCGCAAAGGAGGAUGCAAACGACCUCUUGCUGGACGUGAUGGUGGUACUAGAGACCGGGACGUGGAGGCACAGAGGAGGAUGCUGGUGGCCAUCCUGGAACAUGUAUGUCGCCGGCGACGGGCUAGCACGCGCGACGUGGCUGCCUUCGAGCGUGAAGGAGGGUGGCCUAGGUCGCGUUGA
rnacentral:rRNA from 1 species